AAUAAAUGUAGUUUUGCACUAUUUAUGUUCAACGUUUGAUCGUUCGUCUUAUUUGAAAAAUUUUUAUGAUUAGUAUUUUUAUUGCUAUUAGAAGACAAAACGUGAAUAUGACUAAAUAUUUUCAAAUUUUUCAUAAUUUUUUUAAAUAAGACGGGCGGUCAAACAUUCACGGCUGCACUUAUU
rfam:Oryza glaberrima chromosome 8 Oglab08_0191_10, whole genome shotgun sequence.